rnacentral:rRNA from 1 species
GGGAGCUCUCCCAUAUGGUCGACCUGCAGGCGGCCGCGAAUUCACUAGUGAUUAGAGUUUGAUCAUGGCUCAGAACGAACGCUGGCGGCAUGCCUAACACAUGCAAGUCGAACGAAGGCUUCGGCCUUAGUGGCGCACGGGUGCGUAACGCGUGGGAAUCUGCCCCUUGGUUCGGAAUAACAGUUAGAAAUGACUGCUAAUACCGGAUGACGACGUAAGUCCAAAGAUUUAUCGCCGAGGGAUGAGCCCGCGUAGGAUUAGCUAGUUGGUGUGGUAAAGGCGCACCAAGGCGACGAUCCUUAGCUGGUCUGAGAGGAUGAUCAGCCACACUGGGACUGAGACACGGCCCAGACUCCUACGGGAGGCAGCAGUGGGGAAUAUUGGACAAUGGGCGAAAGCCUGAUCCAGCAAUGCCGCGUGAGUGAUGAAGGCCUUAGGGUUGUAAAGCUCUUUUACCCGGGAUGAUAAUGACAGUACCGGGAGAAUAAGCUCCGGCUAACUCCGUGCCAGCAGCCGCGGUAAUACAAUCGAAUUCCCGCGGCCGCCAUGGCGGCCGGGAGCAUG